AAGUCGUAACAAGGUUUCCGUAGGUGAACCUGCGGAAGGAUCAUUAUCACGUAUCCACGUAUAAACCAUUGUGAACCGUUUUCACCUCUGCAAUAUGGGAAAGAGUCGAGCGUUGCGAUGCUUUGAGUGACGAACAAAUGUUACGAGCUCAACACCUCGUAAGGCUUUAUGAUUGUUUGAAGAAAAAACAUUUCUGACAGAGCUCGUAACAGCUUCAAACAAGAAGGACCCAGUACCAGCUUGCAGAGCGUAUUUCACUAAUUAACUAACCAUUUUAACCAAUCUUUAUAACUUCAUGAACUAACUUUAUUUCAUACUCUUCGGAGAUGAAAUUCAUUACGAAACAAAGAACAACUCUUAGCAACGGAUAUCUUGGUUCUC
rnacentral:misc_RNA from 1 species